GAUGAAGAUUCAUUCUUACACAAAUUCCAUCCCCCUCAGAUUCACUUUUAGAACCUUUGAAUGCAUGUCUGUAUACUCAAAUGACUGGAUGUUUAAGUUGCAAUGGUCAAUUGAAAGAGCGGGACAUGGAAAGGGUAGCAUCUAAUUUGAUUUUAAUUAGUUUGAUAUUCUGGUUACAAGCUUGGGUUGGUAUGUGAUUUGUGAAUCUCCCUGAGUUGCCAGACUGUUAGCUCUGAUAUAGAAAAACUAACAAGCAAAUUUUCUAAUGGAAUUGGUCUCAUGGAAUUGGUCUCAAGGAGGAUGGGAUGUAAAACAAGGUGCUAAUCCAUACAUUCUUCCCUUCAUAUAUAUAUAUAUAU
rnacentral:lncRNA from 1 species